AGUGAACGCUGGCGGUAGGCCUAACACAUGCAAGUCGAACGGCAGCACAGUAAGAGCUUGCUCUUACGGGUGGCGAGUGGUGGACGGGUGAGGAAUACAUCGGAAUCUACUUUUUCGUGGGGGAUAACGUAGGGAAACUUACGCUAAUACCGCAUACGACCUACGGGUGAAAGCAGGGGAUCUUCGGUCCUUGCGCGAUUGAAUGAGCCGAUGUCGGAUUAGCGAGUUGGCGGGGUAAAGGCCCACCAAGGCGACGAUCCGUAGCUGGUCUGAGAGGAUGAUCAGCCACACUGGAACUGAGACACGGUCCAGACUCCUACGGGAGGCAGCAGUGGGGAAUAUUGGACAAUGGGCGCAAGCCUGCUCCAGCCAUACCGCGUGGGUGAAGAAGGCCUUCGGGUUGUAAAGCCCUUUUGUUGGGAAAGAAAAGCAGCAGGUUAAUACCCCGCUGUUCUGACGGUACCCAAAGAAUAAGCACCGGCUAACUUCGUG
rnacentral:rRNA from 1 species